AGUGAACGUUGGCGGCGUGGAUUAGGCAUGCAAGUCGAGCGAGAACCGUAGCAAUACGGGGACAGCGGCGAAAGGGACAGUAAUGUGUAGGUACCUACCUCCGGGUUCGGGAUAGCUGCGGGAAACUGCAGGUAAUACCGAAUAACGUCUCCGGACCAAAGGUGUGAUUCCACCUGGAGAGGGGCCUGCAUCCUAUUAGCUUGUUGGCGGGGUAACGGCCCACCAAGGCGACGAUGGGUAGCGGGUGUGAGAGCACGACCCGCGUCAUUGGGACUGAGACACUGCCCAGACACCUCCGGGUGGCUGCAGGCGUGGAUCGUCGGCAAUGGGCGCAAGCCUGACCGAGCGACGCCGCGUGCGGGAUGAAGGCCUUCGGGUUGUAAACCGCUGUCGUAGAGGAGGAAAUGCAGGGGGGUUCUCCCCUCUGUUUGACCUAUUCUAGGAGGAAGUACGGGCUAAGUUCGUGCCAGCCGCCGCGGUAA
rnacentral:rRNA from 1 species